AUAUAUAAUAAUAAUAAUAAUAAAAUAUAUAUAUUUGUUUUCCUAUAAGCCUACCAACCCACAUUUUACAAAAGGUCAGGACUUUUAAACUACCAUAGAGUUCACUUUCUCCAUUUUUUGUGGACCAAUAUCAUGAUAAGUCAAAUUAGUUUUGGGCCAUUACAUCUUACAUUGUUCAUUUAGUCGAGUUUAUAGGUAAAUUGGUUCUUUGUUUGAACUUUUAGAUAGAUUGGUCAUUUGGUCGAGUUUAUAGGUAAAUUGGUUCUUUGUUUGAACUUUUAGAUAGAUUGGUCAUUUGGUCGAGUUUUUUGGUAGAUUGGUCAGUCAGGUUUGGAAUAAUGGAGCAAGUAAAGUAUUAUUAGCAUAGCACAAAAAAACAUUCCUCAUCAUUAAAAUGUUUGCUAGUGGUAAUUGCUUCUCAGGAAAAUUGAUGAAUGCAUCAAAGAUGCACUUGCUACUACUAGUAUCAGUAUAUCUAAGAAUUCUGAAUUGGUUGGUUUAAAUAGUCUCGGACUGUUCGAUCAAGCUCUUAUGUGGACUGGUCAUUUUAUUGAGUUGUUAGAAAAUCAUUAUGUAAGAAUAGUCCUUUCGAGUUCUGUUGCUAACCUUAGGUAGGCUUUAUGUUAGG
rnacentral:lncRNA from 1 species